AUGAUAUGUUAUUAUUAUCAGUAACCGAUUUUAUUUCGACUACGUUUGUGUUUAAUUUCAGACUCUCAAAACCGUAAAAGGUGGCCAAGAAGUACGAUUUUUGUCCGCUGUCACCAGCGAAAAUAAAAGAUGAUCUUCCUAAUUUUGGUCCUAGUAAUUCUUGCGGGUACAAACAGUCAAGAAAUAAUUACAUUACAGAACAAGACCGAUUUUGUAUGCUUAGUGGAGGACAAAGAUUUGGUGAUCUACACGAAGCCACCUGUAGCUGAAGUUCCUGAAAAUACAGAAGUUCUCCUUGAAAAGGACUUCUUCUAUAACUGGACAUUAAAACAGUCUGAACAUGUAGCACAUGGACCAGUUAUCGACAAAAGAUGGGAAGGUUUCAAAACGAUAUAUAGGGAUCAGUAUAACUUUUCUAAAGUCGUCUCAGCGUCGUUUUCGAUUUAUUUUUCGAAUAUUCCUUGCAGGAUAAUGUUCAUUACGAGUGAAAAUGACUCUAAUAAUACCAAGCCAAUAAAUGUCACUUCUGCAUCUUGGACCCACUACACCCUGCAUUAUACAAAUAAAACUUUAACAGUUUAUGAAAAUGGUAGCAGUUGCCACGACGUAAGUUUGAAUUCGAAUUCCUUUGACUUUGUCGUCAAAACAACAUAUCGAACAGCAUGGAAAAUCCACAGCUAUAGAAUUAGAGUCGCAAAUGAAAGUUCUCCAACAGAAACAGUCGUGUCAACUGGUUCAACUGGUGUUUCUUGUUUGAUCUUUUAUAUUUAUCUUUGCCCGAAGUGUCUUCUGAAAAUCUACACAUCUGGAGGAAUGAACCGCACAGUGGAAAAUACACCUGAUUCCAUGAUGGAGAAUGAACUGUUCAAAAGUCAAAAAGUUUUAGUGAAAGUUAACACUACUCUCACGUUAGUUAGAGAAACACGUUCUGGAGCCGGAAAACCUUAUUGGGCAAUAGAUAUACGAGAGUGUCCCAGCAAAAAUCUCGAUACAUCAAUAUACAAGGCAAAGUUGAGCAAGACUAAAGAAAACAGAACGUGCGAACUCUUGUUUCCAAAAAAAGAGAGUGAAACCGAGCUCGUAAAGACAUUUCCACGUAUUAAUUGUACAGCUGGAUUUUUGGGACACAAAUGCGAUCUUCGCUGUGAUGAAUUGUUGGGACCAGAGGCAAGUUACUGCGAAAAUCACACAAUUUGUGGAAGAUCUUCAUCUAAUUCAAGCUGUGUGUGCUCCUGGGGAUUUCAGGGGUCGUCAUGCGCUGAACCAUGUAAGGAUGGAAUGUGGGGUUUAUCGUGUAAAAAUAAAUGCAUCAACUGUGGAAUAUGUGAUAAAAAGACAGGAGAAUGUAGCAAGGAUCACACUACAUCUGAAACAACUACCGUAAAAACUACAACUUUAUCAGAAGCAAGCAAUUCUAAUAACUUUACACUACCAGUUGUUCCAAAAUCUUCAAUGGAAGGCACAAUAAUAUUUUCAAACAUACUACCGCCAACAUCAAAUGACUCAACUAAAGCUUAUUUUGUGCUAUCUAAAAAGUAUUUUAUAAACUCAACAGGAGAAAUCAUUGCGUACGCUUUAUUAUUAUUUGAAGGGGACGUAGACAUUAAAAGUACAAAUGGAUUUUGGGAUGGAACUUUCAGAACUUGGCCUUCUUCACCUCAAAAUUCCUUACAGCUUACACCCGAUUUUUGGAAUCCGUUCAAAGAUGAACAACACACUUGCAACUUUAUAAUAGGGGCCAGCAGUAGUUGUUGUAAAGUACAUUGCUAUAAUACACCUUUAAAACCUAAUACCAGGUACUGGUUAAUGGUAAGAGCUCUGACGAAUCAAACAUAUAAUGACAGCACGCUACUAUUUUUUCAAACAGCUUCUGAUGCUAGUUCUGGUUCCACUAUUAUUUCACUAGCAGUAUUAAUGAGCCUAUUUCCGGUAAUGGUUAUUCUAAUAUAUGUAAUGUAUAAAAGAAGACGGAAAAAUCAAGCGAUUAUUGUUCAAGAAGAAGAAGAAAAAGAAGAAGAAGAAAUGAUUGUAAUGUUGGAUAAGACUCCUGAAACCACAGUGAUCGAAGUCAACACUUUUGAAAACUAUUGUUUGCAACCCACGUUUCUUACAACUUUAAAAACCCAGUUCGGUUCUCUUUCAGACAGUGUGCCCUCCAGUUCUAGCACUGGUUUACAACCGAAGAAUAUUAACAAGAAUAGGGAUCGAAGUCGAAUUGUUCCUUACGAUUCUAACAGAGUUGUUCUUAAUCCAAUGGAUGGCGUAGGAACUGAAGACUAUAUAAAUGCUAGCUACAUUGUUGGUUACGAUCGUCCAAAAGCUUACAUUGCUUGCCAGUCACCAAAAUUUUAUACUGUUAAAGAUUUUUGGAGGAUGAUAUGGCAAGAAGACGUUAGUGUUAUAAUAAUGGCAACAGAAUUUUUUGAACGCAAAGAGCGAAUGUGCGCGGAGUAUUGGCCGCAAAGAUUGUCAGAGGUAUAUGAAUGUGGUGAAAUUUUAGUAAAAUUGCUUAAAAAAACUACAUUUGAAGUAUAUAUUUACCAUGAGCUUCAAGUAAUUUAUGGUGACAACAUCAAAAUUAUCCAUAAUUAUCAUGUCAGGUGGAGUUUGGACAAUUUUAAUAUGCUUUACCCGAAUAACAUUUUACCUGUAGUAAAGUUAAUAAGACAACUGUAUGACAAAUCACAUGGACCAAUUGUCUUUCACUCAGGAUAUGGUACCAAUCAAAGUGGAAUUUUAAUUUUGUGCGAUUUAGCAUUACAGAUGAUCAAAACUGACAAUAAAGUUGACUUUUUCAGCUUAACUAAGGCACUCCGAGAGCAACGAAUGUCUAUGAUCAGCAGCGUGGAACAUUACAUAUUUUCGCACUUGGUUGUGGCUGAAUAUUUCUUAGAACAUAGAAGUCCCUUUCAGUAUUCGACUGGACAAAAGACAAGACGUGAUGAUAUAAAAAAAGAGCUUCAGUUUCUAGAAACUCUGCAUCGAUACGAUGCUAUUUUUCAUGACAGUAAUUUUCAUUACUGCAUACCUCGAUGUCCUUUUCAAAACGUAAAAGUUCUACGGUAUGGACAGAAAAGAAAGUAUGUAAUUUCCAAAGAACCAAGAAAGGAGCAGCUUUUGGAAUACUGGAAAAUGGUUGCAAGAGAAUCGAUUUCUUGUGUUUUAUUUAUAAAUAAGAAAUUUCCGUUGACGACCAUGAUACGUGGACAAACGGAAGUUGUUAAAAUUACCCGCGAACGAAUCACAGAUACGACAUAUGGCCUGAUAACGGAGGCUUCUUUAUUGAUAUAUAACAAAACUUCGAAUGAGAAGUUCUAUGACGACAGAUUACAUAUAUUUCAAUUUAAUGAUUGGAAAGUCAAUCAGUUCGUACCAAACUCGGUGCACACGUUUAUUUCUAUGGUUAACUAUAUUCACAGAUUCAAAGCCGAGGAUGAAUUAGUUUUAGUUUCUUGCAGUGAUGGAUUUACAGCUUGUGGUGUAUUUGUUGCUUUCUCGUAUAUCAUAGAAAAAUAUGAAAAGGAAGUAGAAAUUGAUGUUUGUAGUGCCUUGCGAACUGCAAGAAGGGGCGAAAAAUCGUUCGUCAACAGAGCGAUAGGCGAAAGCUUUGAACAAUAACUAACGAGUAUUGGAGUAAUAAGAUUUCAUUAAAAAAAAUAGUUUAGAGGGAAUGAUUCAUAAGCAGUUAACAUUUAUAUAUGAAUGCAUCGAGGAUUAUAUGGCAAAUUAUGACAAAUACGAACAAAUUGUAGGAAAAGAUAUAGAUACGAAUAAAAAUUAACAGUGAA